rnacentral:sRNA from 10 species
GAAAGUUGAGUGGCAUUUGCUUCUUCAAAAGAGAAGUUAACCACCUCAGAGCUCAACUUUCAUUACACUCACUAUGUUGGAUUAAUUAAAAAUUAAAACUACAGAAAGGAAAAGUCUCUGAGCGGUUAAACUGAAAGUCACCUAAUUCCUUGGGUAGAAAUACUAACAAGGAGAUUGACAGGACCCCAAGUCCUUCAGUUUUGACUAAGAAAGUCCUAGUACCUGGGCACGGGUUUAGGGAGUCCGCAAGAUUCCAUAGAGAUGAGUAACAGUUGAGUAGGGUUAACCGAAACGAGUGAUUGACGUAAACAAUCGGUGAUGACUUGAUACCUUUGGCAACAUCGGUGGACACGGGAGGAACCCAAUGUAGAAUGGGAUAAUCUCACAAAAGACAGGUCAACGAAACGUAUAGUCUCAGCGU